UCUAUACAAAGCUAUCGCCGAAGGAGGGGUUUUGCGUCUGAUUAGCUGGUUGGAGGGGUAACGGCCCAACAAGGCGAUGAUCAGUAGCCGGUCUGAGAGGAUGAACGGCCACAUUGGGACUGAGACACGGCCCAGACUCCUACGGGAGGCAGCAGUGGGGAAUCUUCCGCAAUGGACGAAAGUCUGACGGAGCAACGCCGCGUGAGUGAAGAAGGUCUUCGGAUUGUAAAGCUCUGUUAUACGGGACGAAAAAGACGGAUGCCAACAGUAUCCGUCCGUGACGGUACCGUAAGAGAAAGCCACGGCUAACUACGUGCCAGCAGCCGCAGUAAAU
rnacentral:rRNA from 1 species